CGCUGACACACCUGUUCCCAUACGAUCACCGAAGUUAAGCAAGGUCGAUGUUGGUCAGUACCCAGAUGGGUUACCGCUUGGGAAUACCAGGUGCUGUAA